AGUGAACGCUGGCGGUAGGCCUAACACAUGCAAGUCGAACGGCAGCACAGGAGAGCUUGCUCUCUGGGUGGCGAGUGGCGGACGGGUGAGGAAUACAUCGGAAUCUACUCUGUCGUGGGGGAUAACGUAGGGAAACUUACGCUAAUACCGCAUACGACCUACGGGUGAAAGCAGGGGAUCUUCGGACCUUGCGCGAUUGAAUGAGCCGAUGUCGGAUUAGCUAGUUGGCGGGGUAAAGGCCCACCAAGGCGACGAUCCGUAGCUGGUCUGAGAGGAUGAUCAGCCACACUGGAACUGAGACGCGGUCCAGACUCCGACGGGAGGCAGCAGUGGGGAAUAUUGGGCAAUGGGCGCAAGCCUGAUCCAGCAAUACCGCGUGGGUGAAGAAGGCCUUCGGGUUGUAAAGCCCUUUUGUUGGGAAAGAAAUCCAGCUGGCUAAUACCCGGUUGGGAUGACGGUACCCAAAGAAUAAGCACCGGCUAACUUCGUGCCAGCCGCCGCCGUAA
rnacentral:rRNA from 1 species